rnacentral:tRNA from 1 species
GGAGCAGUUGGUAGCUCAGUGGUAGAGUGCGUGCUUUGUGUGUGUAUGAUGUCCUGGGUUCAAAUCCCAGCUGCUCCC